rnacentral:rRNA from 1 species
GACGAACGCUGGCGGCGUGCUUAACACAUGCAAGUCGAACGGAAAGGCCCUGCUUUUGUGGGGUGCUCGAGUGGCGGACGGGUGAGUAACACGUGAGUAACCUGCCCUUGACUUUGGGAUAACUUCAGGAAACUGGGGCUAAUACCGGAUAGGAGCUCCUGCUGCAUGGUGGGGGUUGGAAAGUUUCGGCGGUUGGGGAUGGACUCGCGGCUUAUCAGCUUGUUGGUGGGGUAGUGGCUUACCAAGGCUUUGACGGGUAGCCGGCCUGAGAGGGUGACCGGCCACAUUGGGACUGAGAUGCGGCCCAGGCUCCUACGGGAGGCAGCAGUGGGGAAUAUUGCACAAUGGGCGGAAGCCUGAUGCAGCAACGCCGCGUGCGGGAUGACGGCCUUCGGGUGGUAAACCGCUUUCGCCUGUGACGAAGCGUGAGUGGCGGUAAUGGGUAAAGAAGCACCGGCUAACUACGUG